rnacentral:rRNA from 1 species
CAGCAGCCACGGUAAUACGGAGGAUCCAAGCGUUAUCCGGAAUCAUUGGGUUUAAAGGGUCCGUAGGCGGUCUUGUAAGUCAGUGGUGAAAGCCCAUCGCUCAACGGUGGAACGGCCAUUGAUACUGCAGGACUUGAAUUAUUGGGAAGUAACUAGAAUAUGUAGUGUAGCGGUGAAAUGCUUAGAGAUUACAUGGAAUACCAAUUGCGAAGGCAGGUUACUACCAAUUGAUUGACGCUGAUGGACGAAAGCGUGGGUAGCGAACAGGAUUAGAUACCCGCGUAGUCCCUGUCUCUUAUAC